rnacentral:rRNA from 1 species
GAUGAACGCUGGCGGCGUGCCUAAUACAUGCAAGUCGAGCGAACUUACGAGAGGCUGGCUUCUCUGAUGUUAGCGGCGGACGGGUGAGUAACACGUGGAUAACCUACCUAUAAGACUGGGAUAACUUCGGGAAACCGGAGCUAAUACCAGAUAAUAUUUUGAACCGCAUGGUUCAAUAGUAAAAUACGUUCUUGCUGUCACUUAUAGAUGGAUCCGCGCUGCAUUAGCUAGUUGGUAAGGUAACGGCUUACCAAGGCAACGAUGCUUAGCCGACCUGAGAGGGUGAUCGGCAGAACUGGAACUGAGAACCGGUCCAGACUCCUCCGGGAGGCAGCAGUAGGGAAUCUUCCGCAAUGGGCGAAAGCCUGCCGGAGAAACGCAGCGUGAGUGAUGAAGGUCUUCGGAUCGUAAAACUCUGUUAUUAGGGAAGAACAUAUGUGUACGUAACUGUGCACAUCUUGACGGUACCUAAUCAGAAAGCCACGGCUAACUACGUG